GAUGAACGCUAGCGGCAGGCCUAACACAUGCAAGUCGAGGGGUAGAACACUUCGGUGUUUGAGACCGGCGCACGGGUGCGUAACGCGUAUGCAAUCUACCUUGUACAGGGGAAUAGCCCAGAGAAAUUUGGAUUAAUGCCCCAUAGUAUAUAACCUUCGCAUGUUGGUUAUAUUAAAGUUCCAACGGUACAAGAUGAGCAUGCGUCCCAUUAGUUAGUUGGUAAGGUAACGGCUUACCAAGACGAUGAUGGGUAGGGGUCCUGAGAGGGGGAUCCCCCACGAUGGUACGGAGACACGGACCAGACUCCGACGGGAGGCAGCAGUUAGGAAUAUUGGUCAAUGGGCGCAAGCCUGAACCAGCCAUGCCGCGUGCAGGAAGACGGUCCUAUGGAUUGUAAACUGCUUUUAUACAGGAAGAAACCCUCCCACGUGUGGGAGAUUGACGGUACUGUAGGAAUAAGGAUCGGCUAACUCCGUGCCAGCCGCCGCGGUAAUAC
rnacentral:rRNA from 1 species